UCGAGCGCGCCUUCGGGUGAGCGGCGGACGGGUUAGUAACGCGUGGGAACGUGCCCUUCUCUACGGAAUAGCCUCUGGAAACGGAGAGUAAUACCGUAUACGCCCUUUGGGGGAAAGAUUUAUCGGAGAAGGAUCGGCCCGCGUUAGAUUAGGUAGUUGGUGGGGUAACGGCCUACCAAGCCUACGAUCUAUAGCUGGUUUUAGAGGAUGAUCAGCCACACCGGGACUGAGACACGGCCCGGACUCCUACGGGAGGCAGCAGUGGGGAAUAUUGCGCAAUGGGCGAAAGCCUGACGCAGCCAUGCCGCGUGUGUGAAGAAGGCCUUCGGGUUGUAAAGCACUUUCACUUGGGAAGAAAGGUUUGUGGUUAAUACCUGCAAGCUGUGACAUUACCAUGAGAAGAAGCACCGGCUAACUCCGUGCCAGCAGCCGCGGUAAUACGGAGGAUCCAAGCGUUAUCCGGAUUCAUUGGGUUUAAAGGGUCCGUAGGCGGAUUUUUAAGUCAGUGGUGAAAGCCGACAGCUCAACUGUCGAACUGCCAUUGAUACUGG
rnacentral:rRNA from 1 species